rnacentral:misc_RNA from 1 species
CCAAUAGCGUAUAUUAAAGUUGUUGCAGUUAAAAAGCUCGUAGUUGAAUUUCGGGGUUCAUACGUUGGUCGGGCUUUUUGGUCUGUACUAGCGUAAUGGAUUCCUACCUUCUGAAUAACCGGCAUGCCAUUAAUUUGGUGCGCCGGGGAAGCAGGACUGUUACCUUGAAAAAAUUAGAGUGCUUAAAGCAGGCUAUCGCCGGAAUACAUUAGCAUGGAAUAAUGAAAUAGGACGGCAUGGUUCUAUUUUGUUGGUUUCUAGGAUCACCGUAAUGAUUAAUAGGGAUAGUUGGGGGCAUUAGUAUUCAAUUGUCAGAGGUGAAAUUCUUGGAUUUAUUGAAGACUAACUUCUGCGAAAGCAUUUGCCAAGGAUGUUUUCAUUAAUCAAGAACGAAAGUUAGGGGAUCGAAGACGAUCAGAUACCGUCGUAGUCUUAACCAUAAACUAUGCCGACUAGGGAUCGGACGAUGUUAAUUUUUUAAUGACUCGUUCGGCGCCUUACG